GGCUCAAUGGUCUAGGUUCGUGUUAUUACUCUCGCCUAUAACGAGAUAUACUUAUAAUGAUACAGUGGUAUGAUUGUCGCUUCGGGUGUGACAGGUCUCGGGUUCGAAUCCCGAUUGAGCCC
rnacentral:tRNA from 1 species